GACGAACGCUGGCGGCGUGCUUAACACAUGCAAGUCGAGCGGUAAGGCCCUUUCGGGGGUACGACGAGCGGCGAACGGGUGAGUAACACGUGGGUGACCUGCCCUCAGCUCUGGGAUAAGCCUGGGAAACCGGGUCUAAUACUGGAUAUGACUCCAUGACGCAUGUUGUGGGGUGGAAAGCCUUGUGCGGCUGAGGAUGGGCCCGCGGCCUAUCAGCUUGUUGGUGGGGUGGAGGCCUACCAAGGCGACGACGGGUAGCCGGCCUGAGAGGGCGACCGGCCACACUGGGACUGAGACACGGCCCAGACUCCUACGGGAGGCAGCAGUGGGGAAUCUUGCGCAAUGGGCGAAAGCCUGACGCAGCGACGCCGCGUGAGGGAUGACGGCCUCGG
rnacentral:rRNA from 1 species